AGAGUUUGAUCAUGGCUCAGAACGAACGUUGGCGGCGUGGAUUAGGCAUGCAAGUCGAGCGAAUCCUUGGGGGCUUGCUCCCAGGGGGAAGCGGCGAAAGGGGCAGUAAGGCAUGGCUAACCUACCCCGGGGACGGGGAUAGCUACCCUAACGGGUAGGUAAUACCUGGCGAUCUGGCGAGGGGGCCUCCCCAUGCCAGGAAAUGAAUUUCGCCUCGGGAGGGGGCCAUGUGGUAUUAGCUAGUUGGUGGGGUAACGGCUCACCAAGGCUUUGAUGCCUAGCGGGUGUGAGAGCAUGACCCGCGCCAUUGGCACUGAGACACUGGCCAGACUCCUACGGGAGGCUGCAGUCGAGAAUCUUCGGCAAUGGGCGCAAGCCUGACCGAGCGACGCCGCGUGUGCGACGAAGGCCUUCGGGUUGUAAAGCACUGUCGAGGGGGAGGAAGCCGAAAGGUUGACCUAUCCCUGGAGGAAGCACGGGCUAAGUUCGUGCCAGCCGCCGCGGUAAUUC
rnacentral:rRNA from 1 species